CACCCCGGGAGGGGAGUGAAAGAGAACCUGAAACCUUGUGUUUACAAGCACCGAAAGUCCAUCAAAGGACGAUCGGGUACCUUUUGUAGAAUGGUCCGGCGAGUGUAUGUAUCUAGCAAGGUUAAGCACUUAAGGUGUGAAGCCAAAGCGAAAGCAAGUCUGAAUAGGGCGACAAGUUAGAUGUAUACGACCCGAAACCGGGUGACCUACCCAUGGCCAGGCUGAAGUGAAGGUAAAACUUCAUGGAGGGCCGAACCGACUCCCGUUGAAAUGGUAGCGGAUGAGUUGUGGGUAGCGGAGAAAUUCCAAUCGAACCCGGAGAUAGCUGGUUCUCUCCGAAAUAGCUUUAGGGCUAGCCUUGAAAUAGAUUACUGGAGGUAAAGCACUGAAUUGGCUAGGGGCCGAAAGGUUACUGAACCUUAUCAAACUCAGAAUGCCAGAUAAUCGUUUUUCAGGAGUCAGACGGUGGGAGAUAAGUUUCAUCGUCAAAAGGGAAACAGCCCAGACCCACAGCUAAGGUCCCAAAUUAUAGUUAAGUGGAGAAGGAUGUGGGAUUGCAUAGACAACCAGGAUGUUGGCUUAGAAGCAGCCACUCAUUAAAAGAGUGCGUAAUAGCUCACUGGUCGAGUGAUCCCGCGCCGAAAAUUUAACGGGGCUAAACUAUAAACCGAAGCUUGGGAUACCGUAAGGUAUGGUAGGAGAGCGUCAUGUAAGGGGUGAAGUCAUAGCGAAAGCGGUGGUGGACUUUACAUGAGUGAGAAUGCCGGAAUGAGUAGCGAGAAUUAAGUGAGAAUCUUAAUGGCCGAAAGUCUAAGGUUUUUGGAGGAAGGUUCGUCCGCUCCAAGUAAGUCGGGAGCUAAGGCGAGGCCGAAAGGCGUAGUCGAUGCACAUACGGUUGAUAUUCCGUAACCACUGACAACUUAAACAAAAUGACACUUUAGAAGGGCUUGACCCGGGUGCUGGUAAUCCCGGGCGUAAGGGACCGAAAUUUAGUAGGGAAGCAAGCUUGGAUGGAGGCGAGAAAAGUUUUGUGUAUGUAAUGUUGGUGCCCGUACCGCAAACCGACACAGGUGGACAGGAAGAGAAUUCUAAGGCCAGCGGGAGAAGGGUAGUUAAGGAACUCGGCAAAUUGACUCCGUAACUUCGGGAAAAGGAGUGCUCUCGAGAGAGAGCCGCAGUGAAUAGGCCCAGGCGACUGUUUAGCAAAAACACAGGUCUCUGCCAAAUCGAAAGAUGAAGUAUAGGGGCUGACACCUGCCCGGUGCUGGAAGGUUAAGAGGAGGAGUGAGAGCUCCGAAUUGAAGCCCCAGUAAACGGCGGCCGUAACUAUAACGGUCCUAAGGUAGCGAAAUUCCUUGUCGGGUAAGUUCCGACCCGCACGAAUGGUGUAACGAUCUGGGCACUGUCUCAACUACCCGCCCGGCGAAAUUGUAGUACCGGUGAAGAUGCCGGUUACCUGCGACAAGACGGAAAGACCCCAUGGAGCUUUACUGUAGCUUGAUAUUGGGUUUCGGUAAUUUAUGUACAGGAUAUGUGGGAGACUGGGAAGUUAUGGCGCCAGCCAUAAUGGAGUCGAUGUUGGGAUACCACACUUAGAUUGCUGGAAUUCUAACCUGUGGCCAUGAAACUGGUCAGGGGACAUUGUCAGGUGGGCAGUUUGACUGGGGCGGUCGCCUCCGAAAGAGUAACGGAGGCGCUCAAAGGUUGGCUCAGCACGGACGGAAACCGUGCAUUAGAGUGUAAACGCGUAAGCCAGCCUAACUGCGAGGGUGACGGCCCGAGCAGUAACGAAAGUUGGAGUUAGUGAUCCGGCGGUAUGUGAAUGGAAAUGCCGUCG
rnacentral:rRNA from 1 species